rnacentral:rRNA from 1 species
AUGGUGCCGAGCAUUGCCGGGGCGGCGGCGGCGUCGUCGUCCGCGCACGCGCAUGCGCCGGCUGGGCGGCGGGCCAAGAGGGAGCCGGUCCACAUGCACGCCGGCAUCCGGCGGUCGCGCUCCGAGCCGCACCUCCGCUGCUCCCGCCGCGGCGGGGCCGCGGGCGCGUCGCUCACCACCAGCCGCUCCAUCGGCGUCUUCCCCUUCCAGUUCGGCGCCGCGCCGCUGCGCCCGCCGCCGCUCCCCGACAGCGUCGGCGGCGGCGACUACCGGCUCCUCACCGUGUGCGCCGGCGAGACCGACCCGGACCCGGACCCGGAAAUGCCGCAGGUCAGGACGCCCGAGGACCACUGGCUGGACCGGCUCCUGGAGCUGCGCUCCCGCUUCCACGACCCCACCAAGCGCUUCUUCACCGACAACGACAACCUCUUCGAGGAGCAGGACGACGACGACUACCACGAGGACGGCGGCUGCGGCGUGAACUACGAUGAGGAGCACACCGCGGCGGAGGCCGAUGACAAGUGGGACCGCGAGUCGUUCGUCAAGCUGCUGGCGCGGGCCCCUCCGGGCGAUGCCCGGCUGUUCGCGCAGCUGGCCUUCCUCUGCAACAUGGCCUACGUCAUCCCGGAGAUCAAGAGGGCUGAGCUGAGGAAACACUACGGACUCGAGCUGGUGACGUCGUCGGUACAGAAGAAGGCCGAGGCCAGCGCCGUGAGCGCUCAGGUGGACGGCGACUCCACACGGCCGCCGGGCGAUGCGCAGCAGUACGAGGUGGCUGCGGAGCCGCAGCCGCGACGGCCGGUCCGCCGCUCCAACCACCUGGCCUACGAGGUGGCCGCGUCGGCCGCGUCCUACGUCCAAGCGCGGGCCCGCGGCCUGCUCUCGCUCCGGGGGCAUCAACACCCACCGGCCGGGGAAGAAGACCGGCUGUACAACUCGGGCAUGGCGGCCUACGUUGCCGCUUCUACGGUCACGGCGGUGGUGGCCGCCGAGGACGAGGCGCGGCAAGAGGCCGCCCGUGACCUGCGGUCGCCGUUGUCCUCACCGUGCCAGUGGUUCGUCUGCGACGAGGCCGACAUGCGCACCCGCUGCUUCGUCAUCCAGGGCUCCGACUCGGUCGCGUCCUGGCAAGCCAACCUCCUCUUCGAGCCCACCACGUUCGAGGACACCGGCGUUCUCGUGCACCGCGGCAUCUAUGAGGCGGCCAAGGGCAUCUACGAGCAGCUGAUGCCGGAGAUCGUGGAUCACCUGAGGGCGCAGAAGGAGGGCGCUCGCCUGCGGUUCACGGGGCACUCGCUCGGCGGCAGUCUGGCGCUGCUUGUGAGUCUGAUGCUGGUGGCGCGCGGGGUGGUCGGCCCGGAGUCGCUGCUCCCCGUGGUCACCUUCGGCGCGCCGUCGGUGUUCUGCGGCGGACAGCGCGUGCUGGAGGCGCUCGGCGUCGGCGAGGGCCAUGUCCGCGCCGUGGCGAUGCACCGGGACAUCGUGCCGAGGGCAUUCUCGUGCCGGUACCCCGGCCACGCCGUCGCCGUGCUCAAGCGCCUCAACGGCGCGCUGCGCACGCACCCCUGCCUCAACAGCCAGAAGGUGCUGUACACGCCGAUGGGCACGACGUACAUCCUGCAGCCGGACGGCAAGGCGUCGCCGCACCACCCGUUCCUGCCGGAGGGCGCGGCGCUGUUCCGGGUGGCCAGCCCGGAGGAGCGCGCGGAGCCGUCGGGGUCGGGGAGGGCCGUGGUGGCCAGCGCCCUGCGCGCGUUCCUCAACUCGCCGCACCCGCUGGAGACGCUGAGCGACCUGUCGGCCUACGGGUCCGAGGGCGCCAUCCUCCGGGACCACGAGUCCGGCAACUACUUCCGGGCGCUCUACGCCCUCACCAAGGUGGCGCCGCGCCGCCGGAAGCAGCCGGAGAUCGUGUGGAGGCUUCCCGGCGUGGAGCGGCUGCAACAGUACUGGUGGCCGGGGGUCGCCGGCACCGUGGUCCCGAGGCCGGUGGCCGUCCACAGCAAGGAGCUGGUAUCCGAAGCCUGA